UGUAUGUCACCGAGGAGGCUGCUGCGCUCCUGCCCCACGCCCUGGGCCCUUGAAGGGCUCUGCGAGUGACCCGGCAGGCGAGCUCCGUGCUGCAUGGAACGGCUGCAGAAGCAACCACUUACCUCCCCCGGGAGCGUGAGCCCCUCCCGAGAUUCCAGUGUGCCUGGCUCUCCCUCCAGCAUCGUGGCCAAGAUGGACAAUCAGGUGCUGGGCUACAAGGACCUGGCUGCCAUCCCCAAGGACAAGGCCAUCCUGGACAUCGAGCGGCCCGACCUCAUGAUCUACGAGCCUCACUUCACUUAUUCCCUCCUGGAACACGUGGAGCUGCCUCGCAGCCGCGAGCGCUCGCUGUCACCCAAAUCCACAUCCCCCCCACCAUCCCCAGAGGUGAGUCUGCCCCACACCUGCAACUUGCCCUGCCCUGCCCUGAAGGGGAUCCUAACUCCCUCCCCUCACACAUCAGACCUAGCUCUGCAGAGCCCAGGGAGUGCCCGAAUCAGUGGCCCCCUGGCUGUCACUGGCCAGCUCUGUGUCCAUCAUUCUGUCGGACCCAGGACCUCAACCCUCUCUCCCUGGGCCAGGCACCAUC
rnacentral:sRNA from 1 species